ACGCUGGCGGCACGCCUUAUACAUGCAAGUCGAACGAAGUAGCAAUACUUAGUGGCAGACGGGUGAGUAACAUGUAGGUAUCUUCCCUUUGGUGAGGAAUAACACGAGGAAACUUGUGCUAAUACCUCAUAAGUCUUUACGGAGAAAGCUUUAUGCGCCGAAGGAUGAGCCUGCACUUGAUUAGUUUGUUGGUGGGGUAAUGGCCUACCAAGACUGUGAUCUAUAGCUGAUCUGAGAGGAUGAUCAGCCACAUUGGGACUGAGACACGGCCCAAACUCCUACGGGAGGCAGCAGUAGGGAAUAUUGCACAAUGGAGGAAACUCUGAUGCAGCGAUGCCGCGUGAGUGAAGAAGGCCCUUGGGUUGUAAAGCUCUUUCGUCGGGGAAGAAAAUGACUGUACCCGAAUAAGAAGGUCCGGCUAACUUCGUGCCAGCAGCCGCGGUAAUACGAAGGGACCUAGCGUAGUUCGGAAUUACUGGGCUUAAAGAGUUCGUAGGUGGUUGAAAAAGUUGGUGGUGAAAUCCCAGAGCUUAACUCUGGAACUGCCAUCAAAACUUUUCAGCUAGAGUUUGAUAGAGGAAAGCAGAAUUUCUAGUGUAGAGGUGAAAUUCGUAGAUAUUAGAAAGAAUACCAAUUGCGAAGGCAGCUUUCUGGAUCAUUACUGACACUGAGGAACGAAAGCAUGGGUAGCGAAGAGGAUUAGAUACCCUCGUAGUCCAUGCCGUAAACGAUGUGUGUUAGACGUUGGAAAUUUAUUUUCAGUGUCGCAGCGAAAGCGAUAAACACACCGCCUGGGGAGUACGACCGCAAGGUUAAAACUCAAAUGAAUUGACGGGGACCCGCACAAGUAGUGGAGCAUGUGGUUUAAUUCGAAGAUACGCGCAGAACCUUACCAACACUUGACAUGUUCGUCGCGACUUUAAGAGAUUAAAGUUUUCGGUUCGGCCGGACGAAACACAGGUGCUGCAUGGCUGUCGUCAGCUCGUGUCGUGAGAUGUUGGGUUAAGUCCCGCAACGAGCGCAACCCUCACUUUUAGUUGCCAUCAUUAAGUUGGGCACUCUGAAAGAACUGCCAGUGAUAAGCUGGAGGAAGGUGGGGAUGACGUCAAGUCCUCAUGGCCCUUACGUGUUGGGCUACACACGUGCUACAAUGGUAUCUACAACAGGAAGCAAAACGGCGACGUUAAGCAAAUCCUUAAAAGAUACCUCAGUUCGGAUUGCACUCUGCAACUCGAGUGCAUGAAGCUGGAAUUACUAGUAAUCGUGGAUCAGCGUGCCACGGUGAAUGCGUUCCCGGGUCUUGUACACACCGCCCGUCACACCAUGGGAGUUGGUUCUACCUUAAGGCAAGGUUUUAAACCCUUGACCACGGUAUAGUCAGCGACUGGGGUGAAGUCGUAACAAGGUAGCCGUAGGGGAACCUGCGGCUGGAUUACCUCCUUUCU
rnacentral:rRNA from 1 species